rnacentral:snoRNA from 8 species
UGCAUAUGAUGAAGCAAAUCAGUAUGAGUAAAAUCAUGAUACUGUAAACGCUUUCUGAUGCA